CCUGAAAGCAUUGUGAACCUUGUAAAGAACACAAUGUCUAAGACCUGUUCUAUCUCUAAGAUCUCCCUGACUAUCCCCUCCUCUGUGGUCCAGGAGAUGGGUAUUGUAAAAAUAAACCUGAAUGACCCCAGCUGCACGGCCCGUGAUAACGGGACGCACUUCGUAGUGUCCUCCCACAGCACAGCGUGUGGGUCAACGGCAAUGACCUACGGUGAAGCACCGCUUUACAAGAACAAUCUUUUCCUUCAUGUUCAGGGAUUAGAAGACGAGAUCAGGAUUCCGUAUUUGUGUAAGUUCCGACCUGGUAUACCUGGUAUAUCCCGGGUAGUUGAGGAGGAGAAGGAGAAGGUAGAGGUUGAGGAGGAAGAGGAGGAGGAGAGGGAACCUGACCUGGACAACAUAGAGUCCGGAGAUGAGAUGUAUGGGAUCGAGGUUGAGCUAAUCCAGGCUGGAACUCCGACUCAGCUGAUCAAAUCUAAACUGGACUCGGCUCCGGUUGCCCUUCAUGACCAGCUUUACGUUCAAAGUCAUAUAAACGCUGUACGUUAUCUUGCCCUGGCUAUAGAGCAGUGCUGGCUCUCCAGUAGUCCAAGGGUAUCCUCACACGCCGGACAAUCUGACCUCAAGCUAGUAAUGGCAGGCUGCCCGGCCCACCCAGAGGUCACUAUGCAUUGGGACAAAUCGUCGGCCAAUGCCGCCUUUUCUUUUAAGAUCAGCGAGGAUAUGUCAGCACUAGGAAAGGUUUGGUUACAGUGUAGAAUGGGAUUAUGCUCUGCUACUAGUGCUGGAGCACAGGGGAAUAUAUUCAGGUGCGAGGAUCCCGCAGUAUCCUGCAGUGCUAGUAGGACUCACAGAGAGUCAAGUAUCCAGCAGGUUACUGUCCGCGGUCCUCUACAGAUACUCCCGGUCACCAGAGAUGUUAUCGGUCAGAUCAAACCUGCCGCAGAUCCCAUCCUUCAUGAGCCUACCCUAGAUCAGGUUGAGGAGGAGCAGGAUGGGGCUCACGCACCACAGUCAACCCUAGUUGGGGUGACAGUAGAGGUGGCUGUAGCAAUAUCUUUAGCUUCCUUCCUGGUGGGAGCAAGCUCGACCGGGGUUCUCUGGUUUAUUCAUAGUAAAGCAGAGAAAGUGAAAACGAUUCAGUUGAGACGGAUCGAGGGCACGGAGCUGAAACGUGUAGAUGGAUCCCAGCAGAGACGAGACGAAGAAUCUGAUCCAGUCCGAGCUAAUUUUAUCCACCUUGAUUUACAGAACCAACCUAGAGUGCUAAGUACACACUGCCAAUCUGUUCCAAGCUCCUCCGAUGCAAACGGAAACUGCUCAGGAUGUCCUUUGUUGAGCUAAGAAGAUAGAACUCAUUUUCCGGAGCUGAAAUCUUCUCAGCCGAAGAUUCUUUUCAGAGAAUCUUUAUCAGAAUUCCCUUUGUUUAGGGAUCUCUUCCAGGGUUUCGUUGACAUGAGGGGGUCGCUUAGCUAGCCCCCUCUAAUCUUGCAGGGUUUCAUCUCACCAUUCACCGACAGGGUGUCCACUCAAUUGUUUUAUAUUCUAGAGAUAGAUCAAGGUUCCAGUAGAGAUCCACUUUAAAGACUAAUAUAUUCUAGUUCCUUGAACCCUGAUUUAUCAAUCGAAUAUUUAUAAUUUUUUUUGUCUUAUGGAGCUAGGGGAGUUGAAUCUCUACAAAAUUAACCGGACCAAAAAGUAUGAAUCAAGUCGGAGAAAAUUUAUAUACACAGUUUAAUGUUUGGGAAUAGAUAUAUAGUCGGAGAGUGGACGCUCUGAAGGUUUAAGAUAAGAAGAAAACUGUAACAACAACAACACGGGUCAAAGCAGCCAAGCUGCAUUAUAUAUAUAUAUAUAAAUAUACUUCGUAUACAUGUAGGCUCAAUUAUGUAACCUAUUUCUACUACUUCAUCACUAAACGCUUUUCUACCAAUAGUUGGACACUUGUCCUUUUACCUCGAACCUGGUGAAACCUCGAGUCUUUUCCCGUAGAAUACACCAGGAAUAGAAGAAAACACAACACUGGGCAUUGGAGGGAGAACUCACACAAAUAAUAUAAAAAUUCCAUAUUUAAAUACUUUACACAGAGUUACUCAUAAAGGAUAUAUUGAUAUCCUGAAACUUGAAUUUAGUAUCCUGCCUGAAAUAUUUUAUUUUUAGUGGUAUAUUAAAUAAUUAGGCAUUGUAAGUAAAUAGUUUACAUCUGAAAACCGUAAAUGUAAGGGGGGAAAAUAUCUACAGUCGGUUCUGAUGUCAUACAAUAUAGACAAAAAAAAACUUUAAGCAAGUUUAUUAUUAAGCAAUUCUUUUUAACCGCAUGGGGGAGGGGUUGUGAAUAUAGACAAAAAAUAUAGCGUUUAAAAUUUUCUAAGGAGCUUUAGGGUUUAAAUAAGGAUCAAGAAAUGAGAUUGGGUACCGUACCGAGAACAUAUAAGAAAUUGAAAUAGGUAUUAACAAAAUUUAAAAAUAGAAGAUGUUGAUCGUUGGUAAAGGGGCUUUUGGGUCAUUAUAAGUAGACCAGUUUUACGGUUCAAGCAAUUUUAUAAAAUACAAUUCCAGUAUUUUUAUUUUUCUAUUCCUGCUGUGUUCGGCGCCAUUUGCUUAACCAUCACUAGAGAAAUUAAAGAUUAUCCAUGUAAAACUUAUGUAUUGUUAUGAGUCUAGUUAUUUUUUCUGGUUUUUCUUCUUUAGAAGAUAUAAAGAUAUCCAUCAUUUUAUUUAAAAGAGAAAAAUAUGUUCUCAGACAACAAAUAAAUUAUGCUCGGAAGCGGACUUUUGUGGUUCCAUAUCCGGUUGGUUUCCGGUGUAUACUGGUGAGCUCCCGACUAGUAUCGAGGAGUUAUUAAACAAUAACAUUUAUUUAAUUGUUUGCCUGGCCUAAGACUGAAUUAUUCUAUAAAUAAGUUGUAAAGAUAUAUUUAUCCUGCAUCUUUGAUAAGUGGAAAAAUAAAACUAAAUAAAACUUGU